ACGUGUGAAGGUGAUCUGGCUGUGACAUCUGUCACCUCAUUGAUCGCCAGGGUUGAUUUAGCUGAUCUGGCUAGGCGGGUAUCCCCUUCCUCCCUCACUGCUGCAUGUGUGUCCCUCCCGAAGCUGUGUGCUCAAAGUGGACAACCAUCUCUGAUAGAGGAGGACCAGUCUUCGGCCAAGGGUAUAGAGUAGCUGUGCUCCCCUGCUAGAACCUCCAGACAAGCUCUCAAGAUUCAACAUAUUCAUGCAUGCAGUGGAGUUUUUUUGAAGGCUUUCUCUGGGUCAGACCCUGAAG
rnacentral:snRNA from 1 species